ensembl:misc_RNA 7SK 7SK RNA
AGAAGUCAGGUGAUCCAAGUUGUGCCAAUCGGAUUUGGGGCCAGGGUUGAUUCAGCUGAUCUGGCCAGUUAGGUGAGUGUCCCCUUCCUCCCUCAUCGCUCCAUGUGCAUCCCUCCAGAAGCUGCAUGCUUGGUCGAAGAGGAUGACCAUCCCCAACAGAGGAGAACCAUUCUUUGGUCAAGGGGAUACAAGUAGCUGCACUCCCCCGCUAGAACCUCCAAACAGGCUCUCGGUUGGAGGGUUUUCCUCCUUUCCCAGUGGGUUUCCCUGACCACAACAAGGGAGUGAGGACUAGUGGGUGAAUUAAGCUGAUCACAUGAGAUGCAUAGCUGAGUGAUUUU